rnacentral:rRNA from 1 species
GAUGAACGCUGACAGAAUGCUUAACACAUGCAAGUCAACUUGAACUUCGGUUUGGGUGGCGGACGGGUGAGUCACGCGUAAAGAACUUGCCUCACAGCUAGGGACAACAUUUGGAAACGAAUGCUAAUACCUGAUAUUAUGAUUUUAGGGCAUCCUAGAAUUAUGAAAGCUAUAUGCGCUGUGAGAGAGCUUUGCGUCCCAUUAGCUAGUUGGAGAGGUAACGGCUCACCAAGGCGAUGAUGGGUAGCCGGCCUGAGAGGGUGAACGGCCACAAGGGGACGGAGACACGGCCCUUACUCCUACGGGAGGCAGCAGUGGGGAAUAUUGGACAAUGGACCAAGAGUCUGAUCCAGCAAUUCUGUGUGCACGAUGAAGUUUUUCGGAAUGUAAAGUGCUUUCAGUUGGGAAGAAAAAAAUGACGGUACCAACAGAAGAAGUGACGGCUAAAUACGUG